rnacentral:rRNA from 1 species
GAUGAACGCUGGCGGCGUGCCUAAUACAUGCAAGUCGAGCGAACAGACGAGGAGCUUGCUCCUCUGACGUUAGCGGCGGACGGGUGAGUAACACGUGGAUAACCUACCUAUAAGACUGGGAUAACUUCGGGAAACCGGAGCUAAUACCGGAUAACAUGUUGAACCGCAUGGUUCAACAGUGAAAGUCGGUCUUGCUGUCACUUAUAGAUGGAUCCGCGCCGCAUUAGCUAGUUGGUAAGGUAACGGCUUACCAAGGCAACGAUGCGUAGCCGACCUGAGAGGGUGAUCGGCCACACUGGAACUGAGACACGGUCCAGACUCCUACGGGAGGCAGCAGUAGGGAAUCUUCCGCAAUGGGCGAAAGCCUGACGGAGCAACGCCGCGUGAGUGAAGAAGGUCUUCGGAUCGUAAAACUCUGUUAUUAGGGAAGAACAAAUGUGUAAGUAACUAUGCACGUCUUGACGGUACCUAAUCAGAAAGCCACGGCUAACUACGUG